CGAGGGUGCAAGCGUUGCUCGGAAUUAUUGGGCGUAAAGGGCAGGUAGGUGGUCUCGUUUGUCUGGGGUGAAAGCCGUUGGGCUUAACCCAAGAAGUGCCUCGGAAACGGCGAGACUAGAGUACUGGAGAGGGUCGUGGAAUACCCGGUGUAGCGGUGAAAUGCGUAGAGAUCGGGUGGAACACCAGAGGCGAAGGCGGCGACCUGGACAGUAACUGACACUCAACUGCGAAAGCGUGGGGAGCAAACAGGAUUAGAUACCCUGGUAGUCCACGCUGUAAACGAUGGGUAUUAGACUUGGUGGGUCUUGACCCCCACUGAGUCGGAGCUAACGCGCUAAAUACCCCGCCUGGGAAGUACGGUCGCAAGACUA
rnacentral:rRNA from 1 species